CCUAAUAGUCUCAGAGGAAGAGACCUUCGAUUCUUCUUCUUCUCUGAGUAAAUUAGUUCUCUCAUUCAUCUUCUUCUCAUCACAGAUUCACAGUAAAUAUCCUUCGAUUCAUCUUCUUCUCAUCACAGUAAAUUAGUUCUCUCAUUCAUUCUUCUUCUCUGAGCAGCAUCAGCAUCAGUAACUGUAGAUCCACGGAUUGGAGAGAAGAAUCUUCAGGAGAACAGUAUUUAAAAUCCUUGGGUAGGUGGUGAAGCUUGUAUUAUCAGUGCUACAAUUGUUUGGCAAUCUGACUAAUCCAUAUUGUUGCGAGUAGAAAGCAUUCCCUUGGUAAGGAGAAUCUGAGAGCAGAUGGCUUCAAGUACUAAGGGACCUUCUAUUCCUGUUGACGAUCCUGAUGAGAGCAUGGCUACAGUUAACCCGGCAACCGUCGAGAGCAUAUCUACAGCUACACCAUCAUCUCUGGUUGAA